CUUCAUUUAAAUAUCGUUCAUCGUCUCCUCGCGGACCCUAACAAGCGGACGCCUAAAUCCCGUUAUUCUGCAGAUCCGAUGUUACAAAACACAUUUGGGGACCUUUGACCAGCUUUUAUUGCUCCAGUAUAUUAUGCAGCAAUAUGAACCACGGUCUGCCGCAGCUUUGCCCUCGAUUCCUCUGCCGCAAGUCCACUGCAAGCUGUAAGUUUACAGAGGGUCUAGAGCCUAUCCGAGGAAGUACGGGACACAAGGCAGGGAACAACCUGGAUGAGGGACCAGAAUUCCAUUCCCUCCAAAAC